CCCUUCGAUGUCCUGGGCCGCACGCGGGUUACACUGAGUUUGACAAAAGGUCUAAGUUUGUUGCUUAACAGACGUUCCUUGGCCGGAAGGCCCGGGUAAUCCCAUCAUCAAACUCGUGCUAGGGAUAGAGCUUUGCAAUUCUAGCUCUUGAACCAGGAAUGCCUUGUAGGUGCGAGUCAUCAACUCGCGCCGAAUACGUCCCCGCCGUUUGUACACACCGCCCGUCGCUACAACCGAUGGUCGGCUUAGUGAGUAUUUUAGAGGAUCAGCGCAAGCUGAUGCGAAGAAACGCGAACUUAUCUGACUAGAGGAUGUAAAAGUCGUAACA
rnacentral:rRNA from 1 species